UGGUGUGGCUUUGGUGGAGGAUCGAUGGCUAUUAGAUAGUGGUACAAUAUAUUCUUGAGAAGGACAAUCGACAGUAGACUUAUGAAGAUGGCUACAGCACUACAUUGAAUUAGGAAGGACCCUAAUCAGUUUUAUGUAGAUCACCAUUGGAGGGCACAUGCUUAAGUGCCUCGAGGAUACCAGAUAUCCAGCUAUUUGAAUCUUUAUGUUUGGUAUAAUCUCUUACCUUAUUACAUGCUUGAGUUGUUUGAUUAUAAUCAUCAAGGUAAUCCUAGUGUUUGU
rnacentral:lncRNA from 1 species